rnacentral:rRNA from 1 species
UACGUAGGGUGCGAGCGUUGUCCGGAAUUAUUGGGCGUAAAGAGCUUGUAGGCGGUUUGUCGCGUCUGCCGUGAAAAUUCGAGGCUCAACCUCGAACUUGCGGUGGGUACGGGCAGACUAGAGUGUGGUAGGGGAGACUGGAAUUCCUGGUGUAGCGGUGAAAUGCGCAGAUAUCAGGAGGAACACCGGUGGCGAAGGCGGGUCUCGUGGGCCGGUACUGACACUGAGGAGCGAAAGCGUGGGGAGCGAACAGG